CUCCCUCCCCCCCCCACCCCGCCAACCCAGAGAAGUGCGUGAGGUUCCACGCAUUAGUCCUGAUGCUAAUGCUCGUGCUUAGGAAAGAGUAGUAUAUAUACGCAGCCGUGUGGGAGAGCCCUCAAGCAGACAGAGAAGGUCCAGCGUGAGGGUUGGCGGAAGCGAUGAUAAGAGGCAGGAACCACAGCUGGAGGUCAGAAGUCUGAAAAUGAGACGCAUGGGGCUAAAAUCGAGGUGUUGACAGAGCCGAGCUCCUUCUGGGAAGAAUUUUGCCUUUUUUAGCCUCAAGAGGCUCCCUAUUCCUGGGCAGGCGGUCCCCUUCUGGCAACGAUGGUAUGCCAACUGCUACUUUCUCCUCUGAACACCUCCUUCUUGGAUGCUGACUAUUGUCUCUUUUUCCCUCACUUCUAGAGUCUCCUAUGGUCACAUUGGACCCUCCCGGAUAAUCCAGGACAAUCUCCCCAUCUCGAGAUCCUUAACUUAAUCACAUCUGCAAAGUUCCUUUUUCCCCGUGAACUCAUCUAUUCACAGAUUCCAGGAAUUACAAUGUGGACGUUUCUGGGGACCAUUAUUCUGCCUACCACACAUGCCCCUCUUUCCAGCCAUCUUUUUCUCUAUCUAGUAUCACAGUAUUUAAAUACGUCGUAAGUCAGAAUGAUUUGCAAAUCCUCCCCCCUCUUCCAUGUGAGGAGAAAAGAUAUGUGUCAUGAUGAUAACACCUACCAGUCCUGACAGCAAUAAUGAGAAUAACGGUUCACAUUUAUUCAGUUAUUAAACCAGUGUUCUAUGUAACUCGUAUGUACCCAUUCAUUUUAAUUUUUUCGAGUUUAUUUAUUUUGAGAGAGAGAGGGAGAAAGAGUGCGUGUGCAUGAGCGGGGGGGGGGGGGGGCAGAGAGAGAAGAAGAGAGAGAAUCCCCAGUAGGCUCGAGGCUGACAACACAGGGCCUGACACAAGGUUUGAUCCCACGAACCAUGAGAUCACGAUCUGAACUGAAAUCAAGCGUUGGAUGCUUAACUGACUGAGCCACCCAGGCGCCCCCUUACUCAUUUAAUAACCCUGCCACAGCCAGAAUGUUUGUGUUUCCCCCAAAAUCCGUAUGUCGAAAUCCUAACUCCCAAGAUAAUGCUAUGAUGCUUUGGGAA